ensembl:lincRNA
AUGCCGGAAUUCUGUACACUUCUUCAACUCACCGCCUUUCCAACUAUGGAUCUCUGGAACUCACUCAUCUGCCUGUUCGCUGCAAUCCGGCCCAGGAAAACAGUCAAGACAGGAAUGGUUACGAGGACGCCAAUGGAGAAUCCGCCUCUAUCGGGAAGGAGGCGACCCUGGGCUACUAAUGACAAUCAAGUUAAAAAUAGAGGUCUCCGAGUAUCCGAGAUUGAAACAACAGUUGAGAAGGGACCGGUUUCCAGUCACCAGGAUAAGGAAGCACCUGCGCUGUACCCCCUUGAGAAGAGAAGCCCCUGCGGAGCCCACGGGCUUACCCUACAGUCCUCACACCAUGGCCCUUCUGAAGCCACCUUCUGCUCUGCUGCACUCACCAGGCUGGCCUCUCAACUUUGCUGGCCACUGUCUGAGCAACAUGACCUUGGAAGGGUCCCCACACUCUGCUCUACGUGUCCUCAAGACAGUACUGAUCUUUAACACGUCUGGAUAGAUGCUGAAUAGGACCAGGUAAAACAAUCUAGAAUUGAGCCUUGUUGUUUGUAUAGCUUUCCUGUGUCUGAAGCAGGCAUUUGGGAGCCCUCCUUACUAGAAAGCAUUGGCCCCUCCCGUGGGGCUCCAGGAUGAAAAGCUGAGUGACAUCUCUGCCUGGUGUAUGUCCAUCUCUUUCACUUUGGCCGAAUACACAAAACAGAAUCCUUCACUUUUUUGAUGAGUCACCCUAGAAUAUCUGAACAUGAAAAUCUUCAAGACAGACUUCCUCCAGGCGAUGCUAGGUAGGCUGGACCACACCCUGGAGCAGAUGUAGUCAUCCCUUGAGAGUCUGCUAGCCACACUGACUACACAAAAUUGAUCCAGUCCUAAAAGAAACAGCUCACACAAAGGUGACAUCAGCACCUGGAAUCACACGCCUUUAGUCCCAACAUUAGGGAGAUAUAUAAGACCCAAGCAGAGUCUCAGAGAUGGCAUUCAGUCUGAGAGUUAGUCUCUAGCCACGUUGAGGAGAGCAUAGCAGUCUGAGUGAAUCUGAGGAGCAGUGAAGUCAGGAGCAGUCUGAGAAUCACCCCUUUGGUCUGAGCUGAGGUUAGAAGUGAGAGCUAGUGGCCGACUGCUUUGCUUCUCUGAUCUUCACCUAUAAGCUUGAACCCCAAUAUCAGUCUCUGGGUCUUUUAUUUUUCAUGUUACAAAGAAGCUUCUUGCUGGGCAUUGGUGACGAACACCUUUAGUCCCAGUACUCAGGAGGCAGAGGCACAUGGAUCUCUGAGAGUUCGAGACCAGCCUGGUCUACAAGAGCUACUUCCAGGACAGCCUCCAAAGCCACAGAGAAACCCUGUCUCAAGAAGAAAAAGAAAGAAAGAAAGAAAGAAAGAAAACAAAAAGAAGCUUCUUUUUUGCAGUAGGAAGCAAUCACUGCAGAAACUAAAUGACUGUGAGGGAGUAGCUCUAAAUGGGCAAGGUAUGUCAACUUUGUCUACACCAAGCCUCAAGAGCAUUUAAGAAGAGGGGACAAGAAGAAAAGUGGAUCUUGGGGAAGGAGAAGUGGUUCAGUGUUUAAGAGUGUUUACUGGAGCCAUGUGUGAUGUCCUCAAAAGCCUUUAACCCCAGCACACAGGAGGCAGAAGCAGGUAGAUCUCUGAGUUCAAGGCCAGCCUGGUAUACAGAGUGAGUUCCAGGAUAGCCAGGGCUACACAAUGAAACCCUGUCUUGAGAAGUCAAAAAGAGGGGGUGGAAGGAAUGGUUCAGUAGUUAAGAGCACUGGCUACUCUUCCAGAGGACAACAGUUCAAUUCCCAGCAACCACAAGGCAGCUCACAGCUGUCUGCAACCCCUGGAACAGGGGAUCAGACUCCCUCAAACAGACAUACAUGUACACAAAACACCAAUGUACAUAAAAUUUUUAAAAAAGAUAUUUUACGCAUAUGAGUGCUUUGCCUGUAUGUACUGUGUGCUUCUAAUGCCAUGGACAGGAGGCCAUGCCAGCAUUUAUGUAGUGGGAGUACCUUGGCAAGCUGGAGCCAAGGCAUGCUGCAGUAGAGAUCACACCAUGCACACAGAUCUCACGAGGAUUAUGGGGGGGGGGAUACAGAGGCUGCCUCUCAGAAGAAGCCCUUUCUUUUUGUGAAGGGGAGUGGCACACAGGGAGAAAACAAGGCUGGUGGUGACAGUGGGGAUUACCACGUUUUCACCGCUGAUGAUGACUUGGCCAUUGAUGCUAGGUUAGUGAAGGUGGGGUAGGGGUGGGGUUUCCCAGCAGGCCAGAAGAGGGCAUCUGAUCUGGAACUGGAAUUAAAGAAGGUUGUGAGCUGGGCAUUGGUAGCGCACGUCUUUAAUCCCAGCACUCGGGAGGCAGAGGCAGGUGGAUCUCUGUGAGUUCGAGGCCAGCCUGGUCUCUAGAGCGAGUGCCAGGAUAGGCUCCAAAGCUACACAGAGAAACCCUGUCUCGAAAAACCAAAAAAACAAAAAAAAAAAAAAAAGGUGGUUGUGAGCUGCUGCACGGAUGCUGACAACUGAACCCAGGUCCUCUAGAGCAAAAAACGCUCUAACUGCUGAGCCAACUCUCCAGCCCCCAGUUGAACAAUUAAAGCAUACCAUUAAAUUAAAUUAAAAAAUCUUUAUGUUUUUGGUGUUGAUAAGUACAUAAAACAUAUUAGAUGUAUCUCAUAGUGAAAGUGUAACAUUUAGUGUGUCACUCCAGCUCCUCUGAAUGCUUAUUCUUUUUUUUUAAAUUUUACUUUUUUAUGUAUUUUAUUUUAUGUACAUUUUGCUUGAAUGUGCAUUGCAUCACUUGUAUCCAAGGCCCACGGAGGCUGGAACAGGGUGUGGAAUCCUUUGGAACUCUAGUUACAGAGUUGUGAGCCAUGAUGUGGAUUUUAGGAAGUGAACCAGCGGAAAUGAACCAGCAAGAGCUCUUAACUACUAUCUCUCCAGCCUCUGGUUUUAUUAAACAACUUAUGUUUCUCUUCAGUCUUAUAUUUUCUUCAAAAUUAUCUUGAAUCAUACUUUUUUUUGUAUAUAAAAAUGAAAUGUCAUGAUAACCAUCUCAAGAUCACCAGCUCAAAAUUACCAGCUCUACAUGGAAAUAGGGAAAGUAUUAGUUGAAUAAAUGGUCAACAAAAUAGAAGAUUGGACUCCAAAAUUCUACAGUAUUCAGUAAAUUCUGAAGCUUCUGAAUUUUAGUAAUUGGAAUUUUCCCGUAUACUUAAGUAGACUCACUAUCUUGUGUUUUGGUCAGGACAAGCACUGAAAAAGAGACCUACUCUAGAAUUCAAUGUGCACUAUUCUUGCUAGAGUCCCACAAGUAUUAGGAAUUUUUUUUGUAACUUUCCUAGAAGUAGUGACUUGAACUAAACACUGGCAUCCAUGUGUAUCUGAAUGCUUAUUCUAAUGGUAGAGAUUCAUUGAGUUAUAUAAACUGUAGGUGUGGUAAAUUUUGGUAUGUAAGUUGUUUUUUUAAUAUUUGCAAGUUUUUAUUUGUUUGUUUACUUUUGUUUUUUAAAGACAGGUUUCUCUGUGUAGCCUGCGCUGUCCUAGUGUAAGGACUCAGGUAUUAUGCUUGCCUGUCCCUGUCACCUGGCAUAAUGCACUCAGGCAGUACUCUGGUCAGCCUAGGGUUUCAUGAUUGCGUAUUCUGCACACAGGUGCUGAAAGACCCCUGGAGGCUCAGGCCCCCAGGAUCUCUGCCCAGGACCAAGAAGACCCCAAUCACCAGGCGGAGGCAAAAGCUUGAUGCAAACAGCACAAGGCUUUAUUGUAGUUGUUUAACGAGCUAACCCCAUGUUAGCUUGGGCUUUUCAUCCAUCCACCACGGUGGAUGGCUGGGAAAGACGCCAAGAAGCCACAGGAUAGAGAUCUUAUAGAGCAGCAUAAGGGGCGUGUCUAGGGGUACGCACAGGCUCAGGAUUGCUGUGCCUCCAGGCUUAGAGGGCUUGCCCUGUGUUGAUUGGCCAACUGGUUGUUAUGGCCCAUAGGCCCUCCCAGGGCAGUUGCUAUGCUCUGUGCGUCAUUGCUGCACACUUGUCCAUAAAGCACACCCAGGGUCCUAAAGCAUAGCGCCACCAGCUAACUUCUGAUUGGUUCCUUGCCACGAGGCAGGCAUCUGACCUCCUAGUGACCAAGGCAAGGUAAGACAAGCACAUGUUGGGCUGUUAUGACUGCCGAAAUGGUCCCCUCAGUGCAAAGGACCCCUUUCAAAGACAGACCCUGGCCCACUUACAAUUUCUUUUCCUGCUCUCUUCCCACUCUUUUCUCUUUCCCGUUCUCUUUCCUGUCCUCUUCCCUGCAGUUCCCCCGGGGCAGACAGGACUUUUCCUGUCUCCCUCUUCUCUUUUGUUCUCUCUCUCUGAGUCUCUUCACCUCUUUUCUCUUCCUCUCCCUUCCCUCCCCUUGCUAAUAAAACUUCUCACUUAAGCUCUGUGUGCCUGGCGUGUUUGUCCCUCUGCUUUGGGUCACCCUCGCCUGCCUUGGAAUCCUCCAUGGAAUCCAUGCAAAGUUGCCUUGAGCUUUCUCAUAACGCCAACUUGUUGGGCCUCCAACGCCCCCAGAAGGGGAGGCAGCCUAGAGCAGUUGCCUUCCCUAGAGCCCACAGUGCCCUAAGGAAUGGUGAGGUUUCUUCCUGUCCUUAAAGCCUUUGAUUGCUCCUGUUUUGAGUGACAUUUCAACUUAAAGCUUAUUUAUUUACUCAUUUGUGGCGUGUGUGUUUGUGACAGGUGUGAAUGCAGUUCUGAGUGUGUAGUUCAGAGGACAACUUUUGGGAGUUGGUCCUGUUCCUUCCAGGGUGUGACCCAGGGAUUGAACUCAGUUUAUCAGCUGCAGGUGAUUCUCCAGCCCUUAAGACUUAUUGAAACGCAAAUCUGCUUUUUCAUCCACCCUCCUGGGUUGGAGUAUCGGCACCACUGCCCCAAUACACAGCUCUAGGAGCAGGUGCCACAGCCAUACCUGAUCUCUCCAGAGAAGCUCAGAAAGAUACCCUGCUGUGGGGGAAUUUGCACCAUUAUACAUUGAUGUUCUUGUCUCAAGAAAAGCUCC